rnacentral:rRNA from 1 species
UGCAUAUCAAAAAAGCGGAGGAAAAGAAACCAACAGGGAUUGCCUCAGUAGCGGCGAGUGAAGCGGCAAGAGCUCAGAUUUGAAAUCGUGCUUUGCGGCACGAGUUGUAGAUUGCAGGUUGGAGUCUGUGUGGAAGGCGGUGUCCAAGUCCCUUGGAACAGGGCGCCCAGGAGGGUGAGAGCCCCGUGGGAUGCCGGCGGAAGCAGUGAGGCCCUUCUGACGAGUCGAGUUGUUUGGGAAUGCAGCUCCAAGCGGGUGGUAAAUUCCAUCUAAGGCUAAAUACUGGCGAGAGACCGAUAGCGAACAAGUACUGUGAAGGAAAGAUGAAAAGCACUUUGAAAAGAGAGUGAAACAGCACGUGAAAUUGUUGAAAGGGAAGGGUAUUGCGCCCGACAUGGGGAUUGCGCACCGCUGCCUCUCGUGGGCGGCGCUCUGGGCUUUCCCUGGGCCAGCAUCGGUUCUUGCUGCAGGAGAAGGGGUUCUGGAACGUGGCUCUUCGGAGUGUUAUAGCCAGGGCCAGAUGCUGCGUGCGGGGACCGAGGACUGCGGCCGUGUAGUCACGAUGCAUUCAGUCCCCAAGA